UACGUAGGGUGCGAGCGUUAAUCGGAAUUACUGGGCGUAAAGGGCGCGUAGGCGGCCAUGCGUGUCUUCCGUGAAAUCCCUCGGCUUAACUGAGGACGUGCGGAAGAAACUGCAAGGCUCGAGUCCGGGAGAGGGGGGUGGAAUUCCCAGUGUAGCGGUGAAAUGCGUAGAUAUUGGGAGGAACACCGGUGGCGAAGGCGGCCCCCUGGACCGGUACUGACGCUGAGGCGCGAAAGCGUGGGUAGCAAACGGG
rnacentral:rRNA from 1 species